GUUUUGUUCAUGAUCACACUCUUGACAAAGACAAACUCCAACCUAAAUUAGUAAAGUGUGUCUUUUAGAAUAUUCCUGUCUUCAAAAAGGAUACAAAUACUAUGAUCCAACUACAAACAGAUAUUUUGUCUCAACAUAUGUAACCUACUUUGAAAUGUCUCCUUACUUUUCAUCCAACACAACAAACAGAAAUCUCAUUCCUGAUGUCUUGCUAGUUCCUACUAUUCCAACACCUUGAGUGAACCCACCUCCUCUCCAAGUCUACUCUCGUUGUCCUCAUCCUUCUGCUAAUAUCUCUAAUAUUCCUAUUGUGAAAGUAUUUUCUCAUAUUUCUCAACGAAGGAUUUUGGAAUCCCUUAAUUAGUGCAUU
rnacentral:misc_RNA from 1 species